UCAGGUCAGGGUCAGGUGAUCUGGGGCGAGAUCCUCAGACGGGGAGGAACCUGUUAGAGGCGGCCGCAUAAGGUGGGAUAGAUGAUUGGAGUGAAGUCGUAACAAGGUAGCCGUAUCGGAAGGUGCGGCUGGAUCACCUCCUUUCUAAGGAUAAGGAACUGCGCAUUGGUCUUGUUUAGUCUUGAGAGGUCUUGUGGGGCCUUAGCUCAGCUGGGAGAGCGCCUGCUUUGCACGCAGGAGGUCAGCGGUUCGAUCCCGCUAGCCUCCAUUGGUGAGAGAUCACCAAGUAAUGCACAUUGAAAAUUGAAUAUCUAUAUCAAAUAGUAACAAGAAAAUAAACCGAAAACGCUGUAGUAUUAAUAAGAGUUUAUGACUGAAAGGUCAGAAAAUAAGGUUAAGUUAAUAAGGGCGCACGGUGGAUGCCUUGGCACUAGGAGCCGACGAAGGACGUGACAGACGACGAUAUGCCUUGAGUAGCUGUAAGUGAGCGAUGAUCCAGGGAUUUCCGAACGGGGAAAACCCCAAGGCCCGGGAACGUAUUCACAGGCCCGGGAACGUAUUCACAGGCCCGGGAACGUAUUCACAGGCCCGGAACAUAUUCACAGGCCUGUGAACGUAUUCACAGGCCCGGGAACAGAUUGCAGGGCUGGGUAGUGUUUGUACAAUUCCUUGGUACGUAUGUGAGGACGUAAUAUAUUUUUAUUUAUGGUAGGGGAAGUGUGCUCGCGCGGCGGGGCGUGCUGCUCUCUCACUCACGUGAUAGAUGACGAAGAUGACAGA
rnacentral:sRNA from 1 species